GAGUUUGAUCGUGGCUCAGGACGAACGCUGGCGGCGCGCUUAACACAUGCAAGUCGAGCGAGAACCAGUCCUUCGGGACUGGGACGAGCGGCGAACGGGUGGAGUAACACGUGAGUAAUCCACCCUCGGUACCGGAAUAGCCCGGGGAAACUCGGAUUAAUGCCGGAUGGCCCAUUCACCUCUCGAGGUGACUGGAAAAGAUAGCUUCGGCCUUCGACCGGGGACGAGCUCGCGGCGGAUUAGCUUGUUGGCGGGGUAAUGGCCCACCAAGGCGACGAUCCGUAGCUGGUCUGAGAGGACGAUCAGCCACACUGGGACUGAGACACGGCCCAGACUCCUACGGAGGCAGCAGUGGGGAAUCUUGCGCAAUGGGCGAAAGCCUGACGCAGCGACGCCGCGUGAGGGAAGAAGGCCUU
rnacentral:rRNA from 1 species